rnacentral:rRNA from 1 species
AUGGUGAAUUUGAGGAGUAUGCGCUUACUUGUCUUUGUGCGGUUUCGUCCGAUGAUAAUGGUCGGGAAGGAAAUGUAUUGGGGAGGGAUUGCGCUGGACUGGGGUACCAUGAUAAGUAGGGUUAGUCUUACUCUUACUGGACUGGGCUGUAUCGGGAUAGUAUCAUGGGAGAGUAGGUGUGUUCGCUGCGCCGGUGAGUGCUGUGAAUGUGGUGAUGAUGUGAAGCAUCCCACUGGUGUGGAGUACAAAAAGGGUGAAGCAAAGCCCCAUGGUCGAUGCAAGUGCAUUAACAGGCCUAUCUCAGAUGAAGCAUUUAACAAGUUUAUUGUUGUGCGUGAUGAGGAUUCCCUGGAGGCGGAGGAGGCUAGGGUGAGACGGCAAUUCAGGAUACGCAACAUAGCAGAUGGCCAUGGAGCGAGGGGCAAAUACAUCGUACCGGCGAAACGUGUGCAAGCAUAG